AGAAUCAACGCUGGCGGCGUGCCUAACACAUGCAAGUCGAACGAGAAAGUGGAGCAAUCCAUUAGUAAAGUGGCGCACGGGUGAGUAACACGUGACUAACCUACCCUUGAGUGGGGGAUAACCUAGGGAAAACCUGGGCUAAUACCGCAUAAUACCUUCGGGUCAAAGGAGCAAUUCGCUUAAGGAGGGGUCGCGGCCGAUUAGUUAGUUGGCGGGGUAAUGGCCCACCAAGACGAUGAUCGGUAUCC
rnacentral:rRNA from 1 species